UUUUUCUCAUAUAAUCAGACAUUUGAUCUUAACAUUGUGAUAAGAACGAUAGUAACGCAUGAAGGUGAAGCUUCUAUAGGAGCAGGAGGAGCCAUUGUUGCUCUGUCAAACCCUGAAGAUGAGUAUGAUGAAAUGAUAUUGAAAACAAAUGCACCAGCAAAGGCAGUGGUAGAAUUUCAAUAGGAUCAUAAUUGAACAUUGUAGAAUAUUAAAAAGUGUUGUAUUUUUAUUCCUUUUCUUCUUACAGUGUUAUCACCACACACACACACAAGCAUACUUAGGCCUGCAGGGAACUGGGGCAAUUUAGCAUAGAUUUUUUUGGUUCAAACAUUGGCAAU
rnacentral:misc_RNA from 1 species